UGCUCGGUAGCUCAAUGGCAGAGCGCGCGACUGUUAAUCGCGUGGUUGUAGGUUCGAGUCCUACCCGAGCAG
rnacentral:tRNA from 1 species